rnacentral:rRNA from 1 species
AUUGAACGCUGGCGGCAGGCUUAACACAUGCAAGUCGAGCGGGGAAAGGUAGCUUGCUACCUGACCUAGCGGCGGACGGGUGAGUAAUGCUUAGGAAUCUGCCUAUUAGUGGGGGACAACAUCUCGAAAGGGAUGCUAAUACCGCAUACGUCCUACGGGAGAAAGCAGGGGACCUUCGGGCCUUGCGCUAAUAGAUGAGCCUAAGUCGGAUUAGCUAGUUGGUGGGGUAAAGGCCUACCAAGGCGACGAUCUGUAGCGGGUCUGAGAGGAUGAUCCGCCACACUGGGACUGAGACACGGCCCAGACUCCUACGGGAGGCAGCAGUGGGGAAUAUUGGACAAUGGGGGGAACACUGAUCCAGCCAUGCCGCGUGUGUGAAGAAGGCCUUUUGGUUGUAAAGCACUUUAAGCGAGGAGGAGGCUACCGAGAUUAAUACUCUUGGAUAGUGGACGUUACUCGCAGAAUAAGCACCGGCUAACUCUGUG